rnacentral:lncRNA from 1 species
GAGCGCUGCCACUAGAAGGUGUGACCAAGAUUUAAGAUUAAUCUUCCCAUCUGUCGUAGUCACUGCUCUAGUGCUGGGAAGGGACAUCACAAUCAAGGCAACUCUUAGAACGGAAAGCAUUUAAUGGAGGACUUGCUUAUAGUUUCAUCAUGGCUGGGUGUAUUGCAGCAUGAAGGUACUGUGCUGGAGAAGUGGGUGAAACCUAUAUCCGGAUUCACAGGCAGAUCAAGAGACAAUGAGCCUGGAGUAGACUUUUGAAACCUCCAAGCCCAACCACAACAACACACCUCCAACAGAGGCACACUUCACCAACUUGAUACUAAGCAUGCAAAUAUAUAACCCAGCAGGGCCAUUUUCAUCCAAACUGCCACAUUACCUCAGAAGAUUUGGAUUUACAGUGGGUCUUCCCACUGCAAAUGAUUUAAUUAAGAAUACUUCACAGGUGUACUCAGCUACUUGGGGUUUUGUGAAUCCAGUUGUGGUUAAACUGACAACCAAGACUGGUAUCACAUGUGACCACUUACUCUGACACCCUUUGCUGCCAUCACUAUCCACCAUGAAGCAGUGCAGCCAAGGAGUGACCCUCAUUACAGAGGUGAAGUGAUUUGAACUUCAAGCCUUGAGAACUGUGAGCUUCAUUUUUUUGUUUGUUUAAUUAAGUGCUUUUCUUCAUAAAUAACCCAUUUAAAAGAAUUUUGUUGUAAUGAAAUGCUUGUGCAUUGGACUGCACAGAACAGUGGGAGUGGUCAGGCUGACUCUGACCUGGAAGGCCAGUAAGGGACUUUAGUCUUCUCUUCCUUGUUGUUCCACUAGUCAUUACAGCAUUCUUUGCAGUUGCGUAUUUGAAAGCAGGACAGGGAAUUCCAUGACCUACUUUCUGAGAAGAAAAUCAUGAGAGUAAUAAUGUUCUAUGUCUUGAGGCUAAG